GACGAACGCUGGCGACGUGCUUAACACAUGCAAGUCGAACGGAAAGGCCCUGCUUUUGUGGGGUGCUCGAGUGGCGAACGGGUGAGUAACACGUGAGUAACCUGCCCUUGACUUUGGGAUAACUUCAGGAAACUGGGGCUAAUACCGGAUAGGAGCUCCUGCUGCAUGGUGGGGGUUGGAAAGUUUCGGCGGUUGGGGAUGGACUCGCGGCUUAUCAGCUUGUUGGUGGGGUAGUGGCUUACCAAGGCUUUGACGGGUAGCCGGCCUGAGAGGGUGACCGGCCACAUGGGGACUGAGAGACGGCGCAGACUCCUACGGGAGGCAGCAGUGGGGAAUAUUGCACAAUGGGCGGAAGCCUGAGGCAGCAACGCCGCGUGCGGGAUGACGGCCUUCGGGUUGUAAACCGCUUUCGCCUGUGACGAAGCGGGAGUGACGGUAAUGGGUAAAGAAGCACCGGCUAACUACGUG
rnacentral:rRNA from 1 species